UACGAGAGGCCCAAACGUUAUUCGGAAUUACUGGGCUUAAAGAGUUCGUAGGCGGCGCAGAAAGUAGGGUGUGAAAGCCCUCGGCUCAACCGAGGAAUUGCGCUCUAAACUACUGUGCUUGAGGAACCUAGAGGUGAGCAGAACUGAUGGUGGAGCGGUGAAAUGCGUUGAGAUCGGAAGGAACGCCCGUGGCGAAAGCGAGGUCCUGGACGCCUACUGACGCUGAGACGCGAAAGCCAGGGGAGCGAACGGG
rnacentral:rRNA from 1 species